UACAGAGGUCCCGAGCGUUGUUCGGAUUCAUUGGGCGUAAAGGGUGCGUAGGCGGCGGGGCAAGUCUGAUGUGAAAUCCCGGGGCUCAACCCCGGAACUGCAUUGGAUACUGCCUUGCUAGAGUACUGGAGAGGGAACUGGAAUUUACGGUGUAGCAGUGAAAUGCGUAGAGAUCGUAAGGAAGGCCAGUGGCGAAGGCGAGUUCCUGGACAGUUACUGACGCUGAGACGCGAAAGCGUGGGGAGCGAACAGG
rnacentral:rRNA from 1 species